UGGGCGUAAAGGGUGCGCAGGCGGCCGUGUGUGUAAGGUGUGAAAUCCCGGGGCUCAACCCCGGAACUGCGCCUUAAACUACAUGGCUAGAGUAUCGGAGAGGGUAGUGGAAUUCACGGUGUAGCAGUGAAAUGCGUAGAUAUCGUGAGGAACACCAGAGGCGAAGGCGACUACCUGGACGAUUACUGACGCUCAGGCACGAAAGCGUGGGGAGCAAAAGGGAUUAGAUACCCCUGUAGUCCACGCCCUAAACGGUGCACACAAGGUCUUGGCGGAUUCGACCCCUCCAGGGCCCAAGCUAACGCGUUAAGUGUGCCGCCUGAGGACUACGGCCGCAAGGCUAAAACUCAAAGGAAUUGACGGGGACCCGCACAAGCGGUGGAUUAUGUGGAUUAAUUCGAUGCAACGCGAAAAACCUUACCUACCCUUGACAUGCCAGGAAGCUCGCAGAGAUGUGAGUGUGCCCGAAAGGGAACCUGGACACAGGUGCUGCAUGGCUGUCGUCAGCUCGUGUCGUGAGGUGUUGGGUUAAGUCCCGCAACGAGCGCAACCCCCGUCCUUAGUUGCUACCAUUUAGUUGAGCACUCUAAGGAGACUGCCGGUGAUAAGCCGCGAGGAAGGUGGGGAUGACGUCAAGUCCUCAUGGCCCUUACGGGCUGGGCUACACACGUGCUACAAUGGCGGUGACAAUGGGAUGCUAAGGGGCGACCCUUCGCAAAUCUCAAAAAGCCGUCUCAGUUCGGAUUGGGCUCUGCAACUCGAGCCCAUGAAGUUGGAAUCGCUAGUAAUCGUAUAUCA
rnacentral:rRNA from 1 species